AGUGAACGCUGGCGGUAGGCCUAACACAUGCAAGUCGAACGGCAGCACAGUAAGAGCUUGCUCUUACGGGUGGCGAGUGGCGGACGGGUGAGGAAUACAUCGGAAUCUACUUUUUCGUGGGGGAUAACGUAGGGAAACUUACGCUAAUACCGCAUACGACCUACGGGUGAGAUCAGGGGAUCUUCGGACCUUGCGCGAUUGAAUGAGCCGAUGUCGGAUUAGCUAGUUGGCGGGGUAAAGGCCCACCAAGGCGACGAUCCGUAGCUGGUCUGAGAGGAUGAUCAGCCACACUGGAACUGAGACACGGUCCAGACUCCUACGGGAGGCAGCAGUGGGGAAUAUUGGACAAUGGGCGCAAGCCUGAUCCAGCCAUACCGCGUGGGUGAAGAAGGCCUUCGGGUUGUAAAGCCCUUUUGUUGGGAAAGAAAAGCAGCAGGUUAAUACCCCGCUGUUCUGACGGUACCCAAAGAAUAAGCACCGGCUAACUUCGUG
rnacentral:rRNA from 1 species